rnacentral:lncRNA from 1 species
AUGAAAGCUGCUUCAGGAUUUAUUUGUUUGUUUGCUUUUUCCUCAGAUCCUCUGAAAGACUCCAAAGGCACGCAGGGGGGUGAUUCAGUGGAUCCUGUGGUGUGUGAACAAGAUCAAGCCAAAGGACAACAGGAUGCUUCUGCAAAUGAGGAGAUUAAAACUGGGGCAGAUUCCCAAGGCUCCUGCAUGGAAAUAGAAGAUCCACUGUUGAACCAAGAAGACAAAACAGAAGCUGAGAUACCUUUGAUUCUUGGUGCAGAGGAAAAGGGAGAAGAAGGAAAAGAAGAAGGAGGGAUACAAGAGCAAGAGGAAACUUCUGUGGAGCCUAUGAAAAUUGACCUUGCAAGUCAAGCAGCAGACGUUUCAAAUAAGGAUGCUGAAGUGAAUAGUCAAGUUGAAAGUAUAAACGAUCAAAUGGAAACAGAGCGGAAAGCUUAAGUAACAG